rnacentral:rRNA from 1 species
GAUGAACGCUGCGGCGUGCCUCAUACAUGCAAGUCGAGCGAACAGACGAGGAGCUUGCUCCUCUGACGUUAGCGGCGGACGGGUGAGUAACACGUGGAUAACCUACCUAUAAGACUGGGAUAACUUCGGGAAACCGGAGCUAAUACCGGAUAAUAUAUUUAACCGCAUGGUUCAAUAGUGAAAGACGGUUUUGCUGUCACUUAUAGAUGGAUCCGCGCCGCAUUAGCUAGUUGGUAAGGUAACGGCUUACCAAGGCAACGAUGCGUAGCCGACCUGAGAGGGUGAUCGGCCACACUGGAACUGAGACACGGUCCAGACUCCUACGGGAGGCAGCAGUAGGGAAUCUUCCGCAAUGGGCGAAAGCCUGACGGAGCAACGCCGCGUGAGUGAUGAAGGUCUUCGGAUCGUAAAACUCUGUUAUUAGGGAAGAACAAAUGUGUAAGUAACUAUGCACGUCUUGACGGUACCUAAUCAGAAAGCCACGGCUAACUACGUG